rnacentral:lncRNA from 1 species
CUGAUUUAACAUCGUAGAUACACAGUAAGCAUUUGUGCAUAUAUAUAUAUAUAGUAUAUGCUUUUACCUUAAAAGGAAGCCAUGCUGAUAUUUGGAGAUCUUGAUGAAGACAAGGCCAAGCAAAGAAGAACCGACAUUAACAAAACAGGAAUCAAGAGCAAUAUCAACGGCGGUGGCGGCAAUUCCGGUAGCAACAACGGCGAAACUAAGAGCAAGGUGGUUAGCAUAAGCAUAAAAAUGAAUGAGUUAUUGCAAAAAUACCUCAACAUCAAGUUCUUUCUCGCUUAAUAAUCUGGAUUCGAGGAUAUGAUACUGUAGGAACUGGAUAAUCUAAUACUAUACUAAGACGGGAUUUUGUGAGGAUGAAAUUUCCAAGAAAAAUUUGGGAGAAGAUAAUGGAAAAUUGUAGACUUAGGUAAGAUGGAAGGGCCAAUACUUCUUUCUUUUUUCCUUUUUUUCAAGGUAGCUACCAACUUGC